UACGAGUUUGAUCCUGGCUCAGAGUGAACGCUGGCGGCAGGCCUAACACAUGCAAGUCGAGCGGCAGCGCGUCCGACCACCCUCGGGUGGUCGGAUGGCGGCGAGCGGCGGACGGGUGAGGAAUGCAUCGGAAUCUGCCUCGUUGGUGGGGGAUAACGUAGGGAAACUUACGCUAAUACCGCAUACGACCUACGGGUGAAAGUGGGGGACCUUCGGGCCUCACGCGAUGAGAUGAGCCGAUGCCGGAUUAGCUAGUUGGCGGGGUAAAGGCCCACCAAGGCGACGAUCCGUAGCUGGUCUGAGAGGAUGAUCAGCCACACUGGAACUGAGACACGGUCCAGACUCCUACGGGAGGCAGCAGUGGGGAAUAUUGGACAAUGGGGGCAACCCUGAUCCAGCCAUGCCGCGUGUGUGAAGAAGGCCUUCGGGUUGUAAAGCACUUUUGUUGGGGAAGAAACCGGCCGGGUUAAUACCCUGGUUGAAUGACGGUACCCAAAGAUAAGCACCGGCUAACUUCGUG
rnacentral:rRNA from 1 species